rnacentral:rRNA from 1 species
AGAGUUUGAUCCUGGCUCAGGAUUAACGCUGGCGGCGUGCAUGAAACAUGCAAGUCGAGCGCGGUGUGAUGCGGGGUAACCCAAGUCACAUCUAGCGGCGCACGGGUGAGUAACACGUGAGCAACCUACCUUCGAGUUGGGGAUAGCCCUGCGAAAGCAGGAUUAAUACCCGAUGUGGUCACGACGGGACAUCCCGUUGU